CGGAGUGUAGCGCAGCCUGGUAGCGCAUCUGGUUUGGGACCAGCGGGUCGCCGGUUCGAAUCCUGCCACUGCGACCA
rnacentral:tRNA from 1 species